GCGCAGGUAGCGAAGCGGUCAAACGUGGCAGCCUCAAGAGCUGCUGGCUUAGUGCCUUCGCAGGUUCGAGUCCUGCCCUGCGCA
rnacentral:tRNA from 1 species